rnacentral:rRNA from 1 species
GACGAACGCUGGCGGCGUGCUUAACACAUGCCAGUCGAACGGAAAAGCCUUUUCGGAGGUACUCGAGUGGCGAACGGGUGAGUAACACGUGGGUGAUCUGCCCUGCACUCUGGGAUAAGCCUGGGAAACUGGGUCUAAUACCGGAUAGGACCGCACUUUAGUGUGUGUGGUGGAAAGUUUUUUCGGUGUAGGAUGAGCCCGCGGCCUAUCAGCUUGUUGGUGGGGUAAUGGCCUACCAAGGCGGCGACGGGUAGCCGGACUGAGAGGUUGGUCGGCCACAUUGGGACUGAGAUACGGCCCAGACUCCUACGGGAGGCAGCAGUGGGGAAUAUUGCACAAUGGGCGCAAGCCUGAUGCAGCGACGCCGCGUGGGGGAUGACGGCCUUCGGGUUGUAAACUCCUUUCGCCAGGGACGAAGCGUUUUGUGACGGUACCUGGAGAAGAAGCACCGGCUAACUACGUG